rnacentral:rRNA from 1 species
CCUACGGGUGGCAGCAGUGAGGAAUAUUGGUCAAUGGGCGAGAGCCUGAACCAGCCAAGUCGCGUGAGGGAGUACUGCCCUAUGGGUUGUAAACAUCUUUUGUCGGGGAGCAAAAGCCGGACGUGUCCGGCUGUGAGAGUACCCGAAGAAAAAGCAUCGGCUAACUCCGUGCCAGCAGCCGCGGUAAUACUGAGGAUGCGAGCGUUAUCCGGAGGUAUUGGGUUUAAAGGGUGCGCAGGAGGAUUUUUAAGUCAGCGGUAAAAUAGUGGGGCUCAACCCCAGCCGGACGUUGACACUGGGGAUCGUGAUUGGGCGAGAGGUAUGCGGAAUGCGUGGUGUAGCGGUGAAAUGCAUAGAUAUCACGCAGAACCCCGAUUGCGAAGGCAGCAUACCGGUGCCCAACUGACGCUGAGGCACGAAAGCGUGGGUAUCGAACAGGAUUAGAUACCCUGGUAGUC